CGUUCGUAUAGAGUUCGGUCAUCGUUCGUACAUCAUUCGUAUAUCGUCCGUACAACGUUCGGUCAGCGUUCGUUCAUCGUUCGUUCAUCGUAUGGUAAAUGUCACCGUUGAGGGUUUUGUUAUAACGUAUGGUUCAUGGUAUCGUUAAUCGUUUUAUUUGUCGUAUGGUUUAUGGUAUGGUUUAGCGUUUAGCGUUUAGCGUUUCGUUUAUCGUAUGGUAUGUGCUAUCGUUUAGCGUUUCAUCAAUCGUAUGGUAUAUCGUUUUGUUAAGCGUCUGAUAUACACGUAUGUUUUGGUUUUAUUUUAUAAAGUUAUUUCAAUUAUUAUAGUUUUGAGUUAAAAUGAUUUAAUAUAAAAAGAUGCGGGAUAAAAAAAAAACAAUUAUUAGUUUGAAUUGGAUUAAAUCUCUAACUAAUAUCAUUAUGGAAUAUAUAUAAAACGAAUAGGAAACGUUUCUUCCAUCACAUUUUGACAUGAAUAACAUGAGACCAAAUACCGUGAUAUAAGUCAGACUCUCUAUGUCUCUCUCUCUCUCCUCCGCCAAACAUUUCUCUGAUCCAAAUAUUUCCUUGACACAAUAAAUUAUAAAGAAUGUUCUAUAAAUGAGGCUUUAUAUGAAGUACAUGUUUUAUAUUUAAAUGUAUUAAAAAAAAAUACAAC
rnacentral:lncRNA from 1 species